GAGCGCCCCGCAAGGGGAGCGGCAGACGGGAGAGUAACACGUGGGAACGUACCCUUCAGUUCGGAACAACCCAGGGAAACUUGGGCUAAUACCGAAUACGUCCGUAAGGAGAAAGAUUUAUCGCUGAAGGAUCGGCCCGCGUCUGAUUAGCUAGUUGGUGAGGUAACGGCUCACCAAGGCUACGAUCAGUAGCUGGUCUGAGAGGAUGAUCAGCCUCACUGGGACUGAGACACGGCCCAGACUCCUACGGGAGGCAGCAGUGGGGAAUAUUGGACAAUGGGCGCAAGCCUGAUCCAGCCAUGCCGCGUGGAUGAUGAAGGCCCUAGGGUUGUAAAGUCCUUUCGGCGGGGAAGAUAAUGACGGUACCCGCAGAAGAAGCCCCGGCUAACUUCGUGCCAGCAGCCGCGGUAAUACGAAGGGGGCUAGCGUUGCUCGGAAUCACUGGGCGUAAAGCGCACGUAGGCGGCUUUUUAAGUCAGGGGUGAAAUCCUGGAGCUCAACUCCAGAACUGCCUUUGAUACUGAGAGGCUUGAGUCCGGGAGAGGUGAGUGGAACUGCGAGUGUAGAGGUGAAAUUCGUAGAUAUUCGCAAGAACACCAGUGGCGAAGGCGGCUCACUGGCCCGGUACUGACGCUGAGGUGCGAAAGCGUGGGGA
rnacentral:rRNA from 1 species